CAGGACCACGCGUUUCAGAUUUAUUGUCCGCCAACAGUGUAUUUUUAAGACCAGAAAUGAAGUCUCCGCUUGUCUGGGUGACCCGAGUUUGGGAAGAGGCAUUGGAAGAUACGAGGUUGGAGUGUGACUUGAUAGAUUUUCUGGGAGCUGCAAAGAUCCACCUUUGGCUGAUGGAAGGGUUGGCGUGGGAGAGCUUUUCAAGAACAUACAAGUGCAUUUUUACAUUGCUCAAGUGCAGUUUCAUUCAUGGAGAUCCUGUUAAAUCCUGCUGCAUACAGUUCACGUCAAGAAGCAUGAAAUAAUCUGAGAAAUUGACAUUUGGCUGAACAAUAACUGCUUGCUAAUUAAAUUAGCUUCAUGUCUGGAUAUUGAUGUGUGUUUAAAAAGAAAAUCAAUGCUUUCUUUUCCAUGUCAGAAUAGGAUUUUGUAAAAUCUUACCUAACUUAACUGAGACAAAGAUAAGAAAAAAAAUACAAGUGCAUCUUUAGGACUCAAGAGACUUCCCACUAAUUUAC